CAGAGUAGUUAGCCUAACCGCAAGGGGGGCGAUUACCACGGCAGGGUUCAUGACUGGGGUGAAGUCGUAACAAGGUAGCCGUAUCGGAAGGUGCGGCUGGAUCACCUCCUUUA
rnacentral:rRNA from 1 species